rnacentral:lncRNA from 1 species
GGAGAAGGAUUAUUCCCUCUUUUAUUAUUAUAAAUAAAGGCACUAUGUAGGGGUAUAACACAUCUUCUACAUAACCCUAUAGACACAUCUCUAUCUCUCUGUCGUGGCCCCUCACUCCCUUGUUAGAUUAAAAUAAGCUACAACAAUUUCCUUAUUUUAUUUCAUAGUCCUUCCCUUCCUUUUGAUUUUACUUGUUUCCUGAAAAAGACAAAGGUGUAGCAUCAUGAGUUACACAAACCCAGUAAGUACAACAAAACUAACAUAUACAACUAUGCGUCAAUCAAUGAGCCAUCAUUUGUUAUAACAAAUAAGAUAUCAUCUAGUAUACAAUUAUAUAUCUUAACUCGUCUUCUUAGCAUCACUAUAGUCUGGUAAGUUCACACACAAAACAUGUAGGCCACAACAUGCUAAGGUUAAACUUUCAUAAUUUUGAAGCUCAUGUAUACUCAAGGGUUGGAUUACCCACAAGUAUAAUAGUGCUCUAUUGAGGAAGAAGAUGAGUGAUAUGGGAGAAAGAGAUUGCUAGCUAUUUUCUCCCAUAUGGUUGGCCUCCUAGAGUGAGAAGAGAGAGUUAUGUUCUCUCAUCUUUCCUCAUAGAAAAAACCCUUAGUGAGGGAAAUGGUGAUAAGGUUCCUUAUAAAGGCUUACCCAUAUGAAACCCUCUCCCUUUCUCUCUUAUGGUUGGCCUCCAUAAAGCCUUUAGGUUUUUGGGCUUCUUGUGUUUUAGCUAUUAAGUUUGUCAUACAACUUAAGUUAUGGGCUUGACUGUUCAAAGCUCAUUAGGCCCUGAGGCCUAAUGUGUUUUAAGUUGUCACACUUAAGUUAAUGAGCUUGACUAUUCAAACUCAUUGGGCUUUGAAGACCAACACUAGCUCAAGGUCUAAAAAGAACUUAUUCGUUUGAUUAAUUAACAUAUUAAUCAACUCUUUAAUUGCUCACACUCAACUCCGUUAUAUUCUUUAAUCAUUACCUUACACGGUGUGUGAUCCAUUACAUUCUAGUUAGCGAGGCAAUGGGCGAAUCAAUUGUGAAUUGAAACUUGCUUUCAAUUCGCCCUUAGUGACUGUUAAUCAUCAAGGCUUCUACAAACCAUGGGUGACACCUAGCAGCAUAUCAUGGCUACCCAAGCUAAGCAGAAAAGGUUGAAGAACCUAUUUAGUUUGGGAUUACAAUGCAAUACGGUCUAAAUUAAUACUUAAUCACAUUGUUUGGUAAUGGUUUAUUCAUGUCUACUGUCCAAUGUGAUUCUCUUGUCUAUAUCAUUACCUUGAAAGCGAUUUGGAAAGUACUUCCUAAAUCAUAUUCAUACUCUGGUCAUAUAUUCUUAAUUAUAUUAUAGAGUAUUCUCGGUUAGAAAUCCCUUGUUAAGCAUUCACAUGCCCACAUGAUUAAGUAGCUUAACCUCAAUUAUGUCGGGGACACCCUCUAAUGGAAUGCCUUUAACAUAGUCAAAGAUUAAGGACCUAACCACAUGACAAGUAUGAUGGCUCAGGCUAAAGGACCACUUUGCAUUAUCCCAACUAGUGAGUUCUCAUAUGACAUGAGUAUGAGAACUCCUGUUUGGUCACGUUCAGUGGACUCACUCUCUAUUGAGCACUUACAUACUUGUCUUGGUGUCAUUCACACUAAUGACUCGAGACUAGUCGCUUUCUGGGAGGACAUAGUAUAUGCAGAUCUAUCUGAAUUGUCAACACUCAAUUGGCAAUCCUAUGAUCAAGAACAUGUAGGAUAUAUCCAUGAAAGAGAAAGGUCUCAUGAAUAUAAUUUUUUAGAUUACAUUCUCUUAAUUACAUAUUCCUCGGACUUAUCAUUUAAGUGUAUAACAGUUAAUGAGAUAGCUUUAUACAAUAAUCGUUGCCGUUACAUUAAACUAGAUUAGUUUAAUAUGUGAAAUGUUUGUAAAGCACAUUUCCAACAAUCUCCCACUUGCACUAGAGCUAACCAACUGUGUGUUCAGUUAUGAUACAUUUUCAGAUGUCAUUCCAAAGGUUACAACUAUUUCUUCUCUUUGUUCUUCAAUAUUACCUAUAAUGCAUCAAAGAUUAAACAUAUGCUUCUUGAAGGAGAUUUGCAUGACUAUAGUUUUGAUUUUUAUGCUUCCGUUGCUUAUGUAUUUAAAUUUUGAAUUGUAUAUGUAUGCUAGUCAUUAGAAAUCUCACCUAAAUCUCUAGUUUUCCCUUUCAAAUGGUACCAUGAGCCAAAGGUUUAUACGUUGAUGUGUCUUUUGGAUUUUAUGCAGAUGGGUUAUAAUUCUAUGUAUAACAUAUUAUUUCUUCAUUUUAGAUACGUACUGAAUGUGUUCAAGUUGAAAAAGAUAUGCCUACAAAAGUGAUUUGAUACUUGAAUGAAGAGUGAGAUUUUGAACAAAUUUUGGUGCUUAUUUUCUAAGGUUCGGCCAUGUUGGGGUUAGGGUAGGUGUUUGUGUUUUGUUUUUGUUGACACACACACAUUUAUGCUUCAAACCCUAGACCUUGUCACCUUUGUUUUUGGCUUGAAAACCCACCAAGAAAGUUCCAAUCUUGAAAUUGUUUUCAUGGUUGUGUUAUUGGUGUUCAUGUUGUUCUUUAUUUAUUUUUUAAUUUGAGUGUGGAUCUUUGUUUAAGUUUAUUAAACUUGUUUUAGUGUUUCCCAAGAGGAUCUUGGUAAAUAUUUUGUCCUUUUGAUUAGAACAACACAAAAUGUGUAAUUUUAAUUAGUUGUCCUUUUUUCUAUGGCUCCUUAUUAUAAAGAGAGGAGUUUCGCUUUCAUCAAAACAAAACAAAAAAUUGACAGACCCACAACAAUAUAUACAUUUAUUAACAUUCAUCAUUAAAUUGUCAAAUAUGCAACAAAAAAAUAAAUAAAAAUAUCAUAUCUAAUCACAUCUUACCGUUAAAAGAUAAAUGUAUUAAGUAAAUGCUAACUAAGUCCCAAAGGACUUGAAUUGUAAAUGUAUAAUUUUUUUUACAACAAAACAAGCAAAAAUUAUAGUAUAUGUUGAUUAGGACUGGUUCAGAUCGGGAUCCUGAGUCGAAAUCAAUUCCAAAAACUGAAUCGAAAAAUUUCAGGACAGGAAUUUCAAAGCCAUAAACCUAACCAAAAUUUCGGGAUUCCGGUAAUAAUUCAAUUUUUUUUGUUCGGAUCGGGAGAGGGCAUUCAUGCCCAAUUUGUUGGGCUUUUUCAUUUGAUUUGGGAUUUGGAAACCCUAAUCCUUAGUUUCAAAACCCUAAUCCCCAAUUUCAAAAUCCAAAUCGAAUUCAAAAUUUCAUUUAAAAAAGCUUUAAUUCCAAAAUCACAAUCCCUCUUUAAUACAAAACAAAAACCGUAAUCCCCAAUUUCAGCAGCCUUAAUCCCAUUUUCGAAUUCAAACCAAAGUUGGCAAAUGAAAUUAUGAAAUGAUUUAGAAAGGAAGGUCCCAGUUUCUUACCUUCAUGCUUAUGCAGUGUAGAGCAAAUCAACAGAGGAGUCUCGAGCAAGAGAGAGAGGAAGAGACUAAGAGACAAGAGUCGAGACUGACAAAUGACUAAGGAAUCUCGAGAGAGAUCGAAGACAGUGUGGUGUGGUGUGUGUGGGUCAUGUGUGUGGAUUGGCCGAAUUCGAAGACGGACAGAGAAUAGGGAGGAGGAGACUCAUAGAGGGACCUG